CAGUAGCCACGGUAAUACAGAGGGUGCGAGCGUUAAUCGGAUUUACUGGGCGUAAAGCGUGCGUAGGCGGCUUUUUAAGUCGGAUGUGAAAUCCCUGAGCUUAACUUAGGAAUUGCAUUCGAUACUGGGAAGCUAGAGUAUGGGAGAGGAUGGUAGAAUUCCAGGUGUAGCGGUGAAAUGCGUAGAGAUCUGGAGGAAUACCGAUGGCGAAGGCAGCCAUCUGGCCUAAUACUGACGCUGAGGUACGAAAGCAUGGGGAGCAAACAGGAUUAGAUACCCGCGUAGUCCCUGUCUCUUAUAA
rnacentral:rRNA from 1 species